UGUCUGGGCUGAGAUGAAACACAGAUAGGAUCUUUUUUCCAGCAGAAGUCUCUCCUGCUCCCAAACCUUCAUGACAAGCACCGACCUUUCCACGGUGAUGCAGAUCACUGAUCCAACAGCAAUGUCUCUGGUGCCUUCAGGAACCAGGAUCUUCGCCAGCGGGCGAUGGUCCCCGUCUGCAUGGUGGGCGACAGAGAAGGAAGCUCCACCUGCAACAAACAAACCCGAGAGGUCAGCGAAAGACGAGGAGGCUGCAGGAACGCCCACCACAGAAGAAGGAGGAAAAGAACUAGUCACUGGUUAUGGUGUCAGCGUCCAUCACACCACAUCAUACCACUCCGCUCAGUAAACACCAACGAUUUCAACACAGCUGUGGACCUUUUGGAAGCAGCUGAGGUCAACAAACAGAAGCUUUGAGCUAAAGGUAAAAAUAAAAGAAGCUUCCAAA